rnacentral:rRNA from 1 species
UACGUAGGGUGCAAGCGUUGUCCGGAAUUAUUGGGCGUAAAGAGCUCGUAGGCGGUCUGUCGCGUCGGCUGUGAAAACUCGGGGCUCAACCCCGAGCCUGCAGUCGAUACGGGCAGACUCGAGUUCGGUAGGGGAGACUGGAAUUCCUGGUGUAGCGGUGAAAUGCGCAGAUAUCAGGAGGAACACCGGUGGCGAAGGCGGGUCUCUGGGCCGAUACUGACGCUGAGGAGCGAAAGCGUGGGGAGCGAACAGG